UCGCCUCUCAGUUGCGGAGGAGGGGGAACGUGGGAAAGCCUCUGGCUACUGCUGAUGCAGGCGAAGGCGGCUGCUCCGGAGGCGCAGCCUCGCCCCGGGCUGGGACCCGACCCGGAGCGCUCAUCCCGGGCACGCGCCUGCAGCGAGGGCCGGCGGCGGGGCUGGAGGGCUGGAUCCCGCUGAGAGGAUGAAAUCAUGGGGCUCAGGUUAUCCUGCCUGAAAGGCCUGAAGAUGUGUGUGAGCAGCGGGAACGGCAGCGAGGGGAGCCGGAGGGAGGGACAGAAGCGCCUCCACGUGCCCUCCAUCAUCGUCACACCGCCCACGCCCACGGGCACCGCGCUGGCCCGGCGUGCGGAGGGUGCCGCACCCUGCAGCCCCUGCUGAGAGGGGACACCGGGGACACGCAGCCCGGCAGGAUGGAGCCACGGCCGCCAGGGACACACGGGGCACCCACACGGGUGGGUUUGGA